AUUGAACGCUGGCGGCAUGCCUUACACAUGCAAGUCGAACGGCAGCACGGGCUUCGGUCUGGUGGCGAGUGGCGAACGGGUGGGUAAAGCAUCGGAACGUACCCGGAAGUGGGGGAUAACGUAGCGAAAGUUACGCUAAUACCGCAUAUUCUGUGCGCAGGAAAGAGGGGGAUCUUCGGACCUCUUGCUUUCGGAGCGGCCGAUGUCAGAUUAGCUAGUUGGUGGGGUAAAGGCCUACCAAGGCGACGAUCUGUAGCGGGUCUGAGAGGAUGAUCCGCCACACUGGGACUGAGACACGGCCCAGACUCCUACGGGAGGCAGCAGUGGGGAAUUUUGGACAAUGGGCGCAAGCCUGAUUCAGCCAUGCCGCGUGAGUGAAGAAGGCCUUCGGGUUGUAAAGCUCUUUCGGCCGGGAAGAAAUCGCACCAGUUAAUACCUGGUGUGGAUGACGGUACCGGAAUAAGAAGCACCGGCUAACUACGUGCCAGCAGCCGCCGUAAAAC
rnacentral:rRNA from 1 species